rnacentral:rRNA from 1 species
AUUGAACGCUGGCGGCAGGCCUAACACAUGCAAGUCGAACGAGUGGCGGACGGGUGAGUAAUGUCUGGGAAACUGCCUGAUGGAGGGGGAUAACUACUGGAAACGGUAGCUAAUACCGCAUACCAUCAGAUGUGCCCAGAUGGGAUUAGCUUGUUGGUGGGGUAACGGCUCACCAAGGCGACGAUCCCUAGCUGGUCUGAGAGGAUGACCAGCCAACCUGGAAAUGGGGCACGGGCCAGACUCCCUCGGGAGGCAGCAGUGGGGAAAAUUGCAACAUGGGGGCAAGCCUGAUUCAGCCAAGCCGCGGGUAUGAAGAAGGCCUUCGGGUUGUAAAGUACUUUCAGCGGGGAGGCGUUACCCGCAGCAGAAGCACCGGCUAACUCCGUGCCAGCAGCCGCGGUAAUUUC